AUGCACCGAGCAGUGCUAAGUUUCAUGCGUCAAGCCCUUGUAAAAAGAAGCUACCCUCCGGCAUUGCGACUUUACUCUGUGGCUUGUUGCUUGAAGAGCUUAGAUCAUCAAGAACCUACUGGAAGCUUCUUUUACAGUGAGUAUAAAAACCAGUGUCUUCCUCCCUUGAUCACACUAGCAGUUCGUACAUCAAACUGGAACAAGGCCAGGAAGAUUACCUUCAGGGAGUGUGUGAAGUUAUAUGGGCUAUCCCGGUCAGUUGGGCUGUUUGCAUUGCUUAUGCAACCCUUCUUGCCGCGAAGAAUCAGAGAGAUCCGGUGCUUCAUGCAGAGCAUUGUUGAUUACUGUGGAAGUGCCGGCCCAGAGUUGUUUGAGUUGGCACCUAUUUUGGUCAGUAAUUUGGGUGGGUCAAUGACAUUACUACAAGUUCAUGCUACAGUUAUUCGGGUUUUUGUAGAGUUGUCAAUGUUUGAGGAUGCUCUUCUCACUUACAUUGAGGCCAAGAAGGUUGGAGUUGAGCUGCAGUUGUGCAACUUCCUGCUGAAGUGUUUAGUGGAGAGGAAUCAAAUCAUGUCUGCGAGGAGUUUGUUUGAUGAUAUGAAUACAUCUGGUCCGUCACCAAAUGUGUACUCUUAUUCAGUUUUGAUGAGUGCUUAUACACAUGGAGAUAGGUUAUGCUUGGAGGAAGCAUUUGAGCUUCUAUGUGAAAUGGAAAUGAAAGGCAUGAAACCGAAUGCGGUAACCUAUGGCACUUACCUCUAUGGGCUUUGCCGUACCAGACAUGUGUCAUCUGCAUGGAACUUUCUUCAAAUGCUUUGUCAGAGAGGCUACCCUCGCAACAGUUAUUGUUACAAUGCUGUGAUUCAUGGUUUCUGUCACGAGGAUCAGGUUCAGAAAGCCAUGGAGGUGUUUGAUGGGAUGAAGAAGGGUGGGUUUAUCCCAGAUGCCCAUAGCUAUAGUAUAUUAGUUGAUGGGUUAUGUAAGCAAGGGGAUCUAUUGGCAGGCUAUGACGUGCUUGUCGAAAUGGUAAGAAAUGGGAUUGCUCCUACUCUGGUCAGUUAUACUUCACUUCUGCAUGGUCUUUGCAGAGCUGGAAAGGUUGAAUUGGCAUUUGACCUGUUUAGGAGGCUCAAAGAACAAGGUGUCAAGCAUGACCACAUAGUUUACAGCAUUUUUCUUGAUGGUUGUUGCCAACAUUUGGAUCUAGAGGUUGUCUAUGACCUUUGGAAUAACAUGGUUCAUCAUAAUUUUAUUCCAGAUGCUUACAACUAUACUAGUCUGAUAUAUGCAUUCUGUAGACAUAGUUACCUCAAAGAAGCAUUGGGAGUAUUCGAACUCAUGUUUGAGAAGGGAAUAAGCCCGAACAUUGUGACAUGCACCAUUCUAGUUGACAGUUUCAGCAAAGAAGGGAUGAUCGAUGAAGCCCUCCUAUUCCUGGAUAAAGUACGCCAUCUUGGAAUUGUUCCUAACCUUUGUAUGUACAGAGUUAUCAUAAAUGGUCUGUGCAAGGUCAACAAAUGCGAUGAUGUGUGGGCCUUUUUUGCAGACAUGAUAAAAAGAGGCUGUGUUCCUGAUACUUUCAUUUAUAGUAUUAUUAUUAAUGGCUGUGUGAAAGCACUGAGACUUCAGGAGGCUUUCAGAUUGUUUCAUAAAAUGUUGGAUGAGGGUACAAAACCUAAUAUAUUCACAUAUACUAGCCUAAUAAAUGGUCUUUGCCAUAAUGACAGACUUUCUGAAGCUGUGACAUUGUUUAAGCAUAUGAUUUGGGAAGGAUUGACACCAGACAGGAUUUUGUAUACAUCUCUUAUUGAUUGCUAUUGUAAGCGUUCAAACAUGGAGGCAGCUUUGGAAAUUUUUAGAGAGAUGGAGAAAGGGGGCUUAUCAGCAGAUGCUUUUGUUUAUACUUGUUUAAUUGGGGGCUUCAGUAAAGUGCUUGCGAUGGAUGGCGCACAGUGGUUGAUGGAAGAAAUGAUAAAUAAGGGGCUUACACUUACUGUAGUAACUUAUACAGAUAUGAUAGUUGGAUACUUCAAAACUGGAGAUGAGAAGAAAGCUCAUAUGAUGUAUAACAGUAUGCUCCAGGCAGGCAUUACACCGGAUGACAAGCUGAGUAGUAUAUUGGGAUUUGGCAAUGAUGGAGAUAGUUUUCAGGACUCCCUGGAAGACAAGGAUAUAUCAUAA
rnacentral:rRNA from 1 species